UCCCGUGUGGCUCAGUUGGUAGAGCAUGGUGUUUGCAACGCCAGGGUUGUGGGUUCGAUUCCAGUACGGAAA
rnacentral:tRNA from 1 species